AUUUAAAUUUUAGGAAUUUUAGAAAUAAUAAUAAAUAUGUUGAAUUUAAAUAUUUAAUAUUUAAAUUUAAAUUUAAAUAAGAGAAAUUUUGUGUUACUAUUUUAACAAAUUUAAUAUUGAUAAUAACGAAUUCAACAUAUUUAAUUUGUUUAAGAAACUUUUAAAUUCCUCUAGUUUAGAUAUUAAUUUUUUAUCACAAACUUUAAAAAAAUUUGAAUAUAGGUAAAAAAAAUUUAAAUAUAAUGUAUUUAAUAUGUUGUAAUAUUUUUUAAUGAAAUAUCUGUGGAUUACAGAUAUGAAAUGACAAAAUAUAUGUGGAUUACGGAUGUCAAUGGGUACGGAUACCUAUAAUUUUAUCUGAAUUCGAAUCUAAAUCUGAAAGCAAACGCAGUAGAUUUACCUAUACUAAAUAGAUAUAAUUUUGGAUAUGAAUAUCAAAAAUGAAAAUCCGACGAAUUUAAAUUUGGGUAUGGAUUUUGAUGGUAUCUGAUCCGAACCCGAAACCGAUAGAAACCCGAAUUUAUUUUAUGUUAUAUAUAAUAUAUAUAAAUGUUUGAUAUUAUAUUUGAAUAUGUAUUUUAAACAUUUAGAUUUAAUUUAAUAUAUUUUAAAAUAUUGCAAAGAGAAAUAAAUAUUUUGGGUUCGAAUUUCAAGUUCAGAUUAAGGUUCCAGUUUUGGAUUUUUAGUCAGGACAGCUGUGGAUAUGAUUUUUUAAAAUUCGUCGAAUUUGGGUUCGGAUUUGAUAGUCCGGCUCGGGUUUGGAUUUUAAAAAUCUGUCCCGAAUCCUACCCUGUUAUAUUUCUACGGUAGAUGAAGAGGAAAGAUGGAGAGAGAAAAAAGAAAACAAAGAUUGAAUAGAAAUUUGAUUUUUUAUAGUGGAAUUAGGCGAGAAUACUUUCUAUAGCACCAAGCAAUUGGUGCUAUUAGUUUUCUACCCCUCGGAUUGAGAAAUAUGUGAUUAGAAUGAUAUGGGCCCCCUAGAGUUGAGUGAGUGGUUGGUUGAACAGUAUAAUUUAACGGAUAAAAAUAAUUAAAAGAUUAAAUCUAAUGGUGGAAAUUAAACUAAAUAGCAUAAAAUCUUUGGUGCUAUCGAUAGUAUCUCAGUCGAACUCUUUUAUAGUGAAAGUAAAAUUACUAAAUUACCCAUGUAUUAAAAGACCAAAUUUUUUUUUUUGAGUACCUGGUAACUAGUACCUUUCUCAAAGUGACCUGUUAUUAUAGUUUACAAUUUUAAAAAAAUUAAAUCUGAGCCGUGAAAUAUAAAUGAAUGAACCGUAUCGAAAAAUAACAAGUGUAGAAGCAUUACG
rnacentral:lncRNA from 1 species